rnacentral:rRNA from 1 species
UAGUGGCGAACGGGUGAGUAACACGUGAGUAACCUGCCCUUGACUCUGGGAUAAGCCUGGGAAACUGGGUCUAAUACCGGAUAUGACCUUCCAUCGCAUGGUGGUUGGUGGAAAGCUUUUGUGGUUUUGGAUGGACUCGCGGCCUAUCAGCUUGUUGGUGGGGUAAUGGCCUACCAAGGCGACGACGGGUAGCCGGCCUGAGAGGGUGACCGGCCACACUGGGACUGAGACACGGCCCAGACUCCUACGGGAGGCAGCAGUGGGGAAUAUUGCACAAUGGGCGCAAGCCUGAUGCAGCGACGCCGCGUGAGGGAUGACGGCCUUCGGGUUGUAAACCUCUUUCAGUAGGGAAGAAGCGAAAGUGACGGUACCUGCAGAAGAAGCGCCGGCUAACUACGUGCCAGCAGCCGCGGUAAUACGUAGGGCGCAAGCGUUAUCCGGAAUUAUUGGGCGUAAAGAGCUCGUAGGCGGUUUGUCGCGUCUGCCGUGAAAGUCCGGGGCUCAACUCCGGAUCUGCGGUGGGUACGGGCAGACUAGAGUGAUGUAGGGGAGACUGGAAUUCCUGGUGUAGCGGUGAAAUGCGCAGAUAUCAGGAGGAACACCGAUGGCGAAGGCAGGUCUCUGGGCAUUAACUGACGCUGAGGAGCGAAAGCAUGGGGAGCGAACAGGAUUAGAUACCCUGGUAGUCCAUGCCGUAAACGUUGGGCACUAGGUGUGGGGGACAUUCCACGUUUUCCGCGCCGUAGCUAACGCAUUAAGUGCCAUUAAGUGCCCCGCCUGGGGAGUACGGCCGCAAGGCUAAAACUCAAAGGAAUUGACGGGGGCCCGCACAAGCGGCGGAGCAUGCGGAUUAAUUCGAUGCAACGCGAAGAACCUUACCAAGGCUUGACAUGGACCGGACCGCCGCAGAAAUGUGGUUUCCCCUUUGGGGCCGGUUUACAGGUGGUGCAUGGUUGUCGUCAGCUCGUGUCGUGAGAUGUUGGGUUAAGUCCCGCAACGAGCGCAACCCUCGUUCUAUGUUGCCAGCGGUUCGGCCGGGGACUCAUAGGAGACUGCCGGGGUCAACUCGGAGGAAGGUGGGGACGACGUCAAAUCAUCAUGCCCCUUAUGUCUUGGGCUUCACGCAUGCUACAAUGGCCGGUACAAAGGGUUGCGAUACUGUGAGGUGGAGCUAAUCCCAAAAAGCCGGUCUCAGUUCGGAUUGGGGUCUGCAACUCGACCCCAUGAAGUCGGAGUCGCUAGUAAUCGCAGAUCAGCAACGCUGCGGUGAAUACGUUCCCGGGCCUUGUACACACCGCCCGUCAAGUCACGAAAGUUGGUAACACCCGAAGCCGG